rnacentral:misc_RNA from 1 species
GAAAUGCGAUAAGUAGUGUGAAUUGCAGAAUUCAGUGAAUCAUCGAAUCUUUGAACGCACAUUGCGCCCUUUGGUAUUCCAAAGGGCAUGCCUGUUCGAGCGUCAUUUGUACCCUCAAGCUUUGCUUGGUGUUGGGCAUCUUGUCUCUAGCUUUGCUGGAGACUCGCCUUAAAGUAAUUGGCAGCCGGCCUACUGGUUUCGGAGCGCAGCACAAGUCGCACUCUCUAUCAGCAAAGGUCUAGCAUCCAUUAAGCCUUUUUUCAACUUUUGACCUCGGAUCAGGUAGGGAUACCCGCUGAACUUAAGC